GGAGUGAUGGCUCAGUGAUUAAGAGCACUUGCUUUCACAGAGGAACUGGGUUCAACUCCCAGCACUCUG
rnacentral:tRNA from 1 species